rnacentral:rRNA from 1 species
UACAGAGGGUGCAAGCGUUAAUCGGAAUUACUGGGCGUAAAGCGCACGUAGGUGGUCAAAUCAGUUGGGUGUGAAAUCCCUGGGCUCAACCUGGGAACUGCACCCGAUACUGGAAGGCUAGAGUGCGAGAGAGGGAGGUAGAAUUCCAUGUGUAGCGGUGAAAUGCGUAGAUAUAUGGAGGAAUACCAGUGGCGAAGGCGGCCUCCUGGCUCGACACUGACGCUGAGGUGCGAAAGCGUGGGGAGCGAACAGG